rnacentral:rRNA from 1 species
AGUGAACGCUGGCGGUAGGCCUAACACAUGCAAGUCGAACGGCAGCACAGUAAGAGCUUGCUCUUACGGGUGGCGAGUGGCGGACGGGUGAGGAAUACAUCGGAAUCUACUUUUUCGUGGGGGAUAACGUAGGGAAACUUACGCUAAUACCGCAUACGACCUACGGGGGAAAGCAGGGGAUCUUCGGACCUUGCGCGAUUGAAUGAGCCGAUGUCGGAUUAGCUAGUUGGCGGGGUAAAGGCCCACCAAGGCGACGAUCCGUAGCUGGUCUGAGAGGAUGAUCAGCCACACUGGAGCUGAGACACGGUCCAGACUCCUACGGGAGGCAGCAGUGGGGAAUAUUGGACAAUGGGCGCAAGCCUGAUCCAGCCAUACCGCGUGGGUGAAGAAGGCCUUCGGGUUGUAAAGCCCUUUUGUUGGGAAAGAAAAGCAGCAGGUUAAUACCCCGCUGUUCUGACGGUACCCAAAGAAUAAGCACCGGCUAACUUCGUG